GCUGUCGUCAGCUCGUGUUGUGAAAUGUUGGGUUAAGUCCCGCAACGAGCGCAACCCUUAUCCUUUGUUGCCAGCGAUUCGGUCGGGAACUCAAAGGAGACUGCCGGUGAUAAACCGGAGGAAGGUGGGGAUGACGUCAAGUCAUCAUGGCCCUUACGAGUAGGGCUACACACGUGCUACAAUGGCGUAUACAAAGAGAAGCGACCUCGCGAGAGCAAGCGGAACUCAUAAAGUACGUCGUAGUCCGGAUUGGAGUCUGCAACUCGACUCCAUGAAGUCGGAAUCGCUAGUAAUCGUAGAUCAGAAUGCUACGGUGAAUACGUUCCCGGGCCUUGUACACACCGCCCGUCACACCAUGGGAGUGGGUUGCAAAAGAAGUAGGUAGCUUAACCUUCGGGAGGGCGCUUACCACUUUGUGAUCCAUGACUGGGGUGAAGUCGUAACAAGGUAACCGUAGGGGAACCUG
rnacentral:rRNA from 1 species